UAAGGAAUAUUGGACAAUGGAGGCAACUCUGAUCCAGCCAUGCCGCGUGAAGGAAUAAGGCCCUAUGGGUCGUAAACUUCUUUUAGACGGGACAAAACCCCUUUACGUGUAAAGGGUUGAUGGUACUGUCAGAAUAAGCAUCGGCUAACUUCGUGUCAGCAGCCGCGGUAAUACGAAGGAUGCAAGCGUUAUCCGGGAUUAUUGGGUUUAAAGGGUGCGUAGGCGGACUAAUAAGUCAGUGGUGAAAGCCUGCAGCUUAACUGCAGAAUUGCCAUUGAUACUGUUAGUCUUGAGUACAGUUGAGGUAGGCGGAAUGUGUCAUGUAGCGGUGAAAUGCUUAGAUAUGACACAGAACACCGAUUGCGAAGGCAGCUUGCUAAGCUGUAACUGACGCUGAGGCACGAAAGCGUGGGGAGCAAACA
rnacentral:rRNA from 1 species